rnacentral:piRNA from 1 species
UGGGCGUACAGUUUGAACUUC